rnacentral:ncRNA from 2 species
GCCCUGAAAAGCUCUUGCCGUUGCCUAGUUGGGUGCGGCAAGGAGAGAAUCCCGUGAAAGCCGGGAGCGGUCGCGCCGCUGUAAGGGAGGACGAAACCGGCAUAAGCCAAUGCGUGGAAACCGAAAGGGAAUACAUGUGUGAAGGAGCCGGAAGUAGGUUGAUCCCCGAGCCAGAAGAACUGUGGGAAAUGUGAUGUUGAG